CUUGAAACACCAGUCCUCGUACAAUCACCGAAGUUAAGCAACUUUGAGCCUAGUCAGUAGCUAUAUAGGUGACUGCCUGGGAAUAUCGGGUGCUGUAAG